GAUGAACGCUGGCGGCGUGCUUAACACAUGCAAGUCGAACGGUGAAGGCCGAGCUUGCUCUGCUGGAUCAGUGGCGAACGGGUGAGUAACACGUGAGCAAUCUGCCCCUGACUCUGGGAUAACCGCUGGAAACGGCGGCUAAUACUGGAUACGAGCUGCGACUGCAUCUUCAGCAGCUGAAAGGAACGUCGGUCAGGGAUGAGCUCGCGGCCUAUCAGCUUGUUGGUGGGGUAGUGGCUUACCAAGGCGUUGACGGGUAGCCGGCCUGAGAGGGUGACCGGCCACAUUGGGACUGAGAUACGGCCCAGACUCCUACGGGAGGCAGCAGUGGGGAAUAUUGCACAAUGGGCGAAAGCCUGAUGCAGCAACGCCGCGUGCGGGACGACGGCCUUCGGGUUGUAAACCGCUUUCAGCAGUGACGAAGCGAGAGUGACGGUACUGGCUGAAGAAGCGCCGGCUAACUACGUG
rnacentral:rRNA from 1 species